CACAUAAGGUACAAAAACACAAUAUUUCCUCUGAUUUUACUGGCGUUUGUUGUGUUUUAAGAUGACAGCAACACAUAAGGUACAAAAAAAAAACUUAUUUCCUCCGAUUUUACUGGUGUUUGUUGUGUUUUAAGAUGACAGCAACACAUAAGGUACAAAAAAACCCACUUAUUUCCUCUGAGUUUUACUGGUGUUUGUUGUGUUUUAAGAUUGACACCAACACAUAAGGUACAAAAACACAAUAUUUCCUCUGAUUUUACUGGUGUUUGUUGUGUUUUAAGAUGACAGCAACACAUAAGGUACAAAAACACAAUAUUUCCUCUGAUUUUACUGGUGUUUGUUGUGUUUUAAGAUGACAGCAACACAUAAGGUACUAAACCCCCCCACUUAUUUCCUCUGAUUUUACUGGUGUUUGUUGUGUUUUAAGAUGACAGCAACACAUAAGUACCAAAAAACACACUAUUUCCUCUGAUUUUACUGGUGUUUGUUGUGUUUUAAGAUGACAGCAACACAUAAGGUACAAAAAAACCCACUUAUUUCCUCUGAUUUUACUGGUGUUUGUUGUGUUUUAAGAUGACAGCAACACAUAAGUACCAAAAAACACAAUAUUGCCUCUGAUUUUACUGGUGUUUGUUGUGUUUUAAGAUGACAGCAACACAUAAGGUACAAAAAACUUAUUUCCUCUGAUUUUACUGGUGUUUGUUGUGUUUUAAGAUGACAGCAACACAUAAGAUACAAAAACACUUAUUUCCUGUGAUUUUACUGGUCUUUGUUGUGUUUUAAGAUUGACAGCAACACAUAAGGUAUCAAAAACACAAUAUUGCCUCUGAUUUGACUUAAUUUAGUGCUCAUAUAACACACAGUAAUGGCUAACACAAGUAAUACAGAGGCAAGGGUGGUUUCGGGGAUUAAUAAGUGUGUGUGUGCGUGUUGUGUUUUAAGAUUGACAGUGACAAAUAAGCUUCCAAAAAGGUAAAAAUAUCGGAGACUCGUGCGGUCAAAUGUAAGUGGUAACUGUGUGGUGUUACGCACAUCAUGUCUCCUAUAUAUUAUCCAAACAAUGAACAAACAAACAAGAAAACAGACAGAAGAAACGUAUAACUAUCCUUCAGAAACAGAAGAAUGAGAGACGAUGCAGUGACUUAUUUGCUGUUUAUAUCUUAAUGCAUACAACAGUCGACAAGUAAAGGCAUAGAUGUGUACUAGGCCUAUCUACUGAAAAGGACAUUAGGGGGGGCAUGAAAAAUCUACCCAACAUUGUCAUCACCGGCAAUAACAAGAUGAGCAGGAAUGAACCUUUUAUUACGCCCUCCCAACUUAAACCUAUCAUGCCAGUGUAAGAAAAGGACAACAAUGUGUGCGUGUGGCCCGUUGCCGUGUUCAAAUGACACGAAAGGACAGGGAAACAGCACCAGAGGACUCGUCGGACAGGGCGCAAUCCUCCUUCGUCUUGUCUCUCCGUCUUCGUGGUGAAUGGAUUCUGUUCGCAGCCACUUCCGUUCCACCUGUCACCUGCCUGGCCGCGCGAGUCCACAGGUGUAUCCAGAAAAGACCACAUCAUCACGUGUCAUCUUCCUCACCAUCAACCAGACAAUACAGGUAUGAAACGUGACAGUACAGCAAGAUUAGGGAACACACACACACA